UCGUUCAUACUACAGUGGCCACACCAGAUCCCAUCAGAACUCUGAAGUUAAGCACUGUAAGGCUUGGCUAGUACUGAGGUGGGAGACCGCUCGGGAACACAAAGUGAUGAGUCA
rnacentral:rRNA from 1 species